GACGAACGCUGGCGGCGUGCUUAACACAUGCAAGUCGAGCGGAAAGGCCCUUCGUGGUCUUCGAGCGGCGAACGGGUGGGUAACACAUGAGUAACCAGCCCCCGCCUUUGGCCUAACCAUCGCAAACGGGGGCUAGUUACGGCUAGGAGUCCGCUUCGCACGUGGGCUGUGUGGAUAGAGUAUCGGUUGGGGUUGGGCUCGCGGCGGAUCGGCUUGUUGGUGGGGUGAUGGCCUAGCAAGGCGACGCCGGGUAGCCGGCCUGAGAGGGCGACCGGCCACACUGGUACUGAGACACGGCCCAGACUCCUACGUGAGGCAGCAGUGGGGAAUAUUGCACAAUGGGCGGACGCCUGAUGCAGCGACGCCGCGGGAGGGAUGACGGCCUUCGGGUGGUAAACCUCUUUCAGCAGGGACGAAGCGUAAGUGACGGUACCUGCAGAAGAAGCGCCGGCCAACUACGUG
rnacentral:rRNA from 1 species